AGAUUGUCAUACUCAGAGGUUUUUCCUUCUAAAACUCUCUCCAGCUACACUGAAAGGGAAGAAGGUAAAAGGCUAGUGCUCUUCGGAUGUUGAGCGUGUGAAGAGAAGCCUCCCUGUUGUUGGCAUGUGGUUUCGGGAAAAACACAUGGACAUAGAUGCCGAGAGCCUUUAAGGUGGCCUGGGAAUCCUUUAAAGUAUGCAAGGACACAUCGGUGGAUUCGGCAAACAGUUUCUGACCCUCAAAGGGGAGGUCCUCAACCACAGCCUGCACCUCUCUCGGGAAUCCUGAUAGGUGGUGCCAAGAUGCCCGACAGAUGACCACAGAGGUCACGAUGGAGCGUGCUGCUGUGUCCUUGGAAUCAAGAGAGGCUUGGAGGGUUGACCUUGCGAUGAGAGAACCUUUGGAGAUGUUGGACUUAUACGCUUCUCUCUUGUCCUCUGGAAGAUUUUCAAUAAAA